CUGGGUGCGAAGCCCUUGAGAGCCCUCUCCCGAAACUUCUCCAUGAGGAGUCUGGUUCACACCACCUAUCAAGCCAACCCCAAUCCCUCUCUACCCCCACGCAGCACUAAGUCAAAACGUCGCCAGUGCCUGUACCCAGGGGCAUCAGCCGUGGUGUGCAAAACCUCUGUCCCAAAGGCCAUGCCGGAACAAGACCUCUUGAGACUCACAACGAGGGAGUGAAUGGCAGCGCCUACCAAAUGUGCACAGGUGAUUCUUCAGUACAGAUUCCUAAGAUUGAGAUUUUAUUUUGUUCCUCUGAUAGAAGAGCCUUGUUCAGGAAACAAAACAAAACAAUAACAACAAAAAAUGUGGGGAAAUGUAUCUUAGCCAAAAGAAGUCCCACCUGUACCUUCUGCCAAAUAAACUCUGAUGGCCCUCCUUUGAGAA